ACUCAAAUGAAUUGACGGGGACCCGCACAACCGGUGGAGCGUGUGGUUCAAUUCGAGACAAAACGAAAAACCUCACCAGGGUUUGACAUGCAAUCGUACAUUCUCCAAGAAACUGGAGGAAAUCCGCAAGGAUGAUUGCACAGGUGCUGCAUGGCUGUCGUCAGCUCGUGCCGUGAGGUGUUCCCUUAAGUGGGGAAACGAGCGCAACCCCCGUCCAAUGUUAGAUUGUUCAUUGGAGACUGCUCUGAUUUUAUCAGAGAGGAAGGAGGGGAAGACGUCAAGUCAGCACGGCCCUUAUACCCUGGGCUACACACACACUACAAUGGCGAAGAACAACGAGUUGCAAGUACGUAAGUGCAAGCAAAUCCCUAAAAUUUCGCCUCAGUUCAGAUUGGGGUCUGAAACCCGACCCCAUGAAGUCGGAAUCGGUAGUAAUCGCGGAUCAGCAUGCCGCGGUGAAUACGUUCUCGGGUCUUGUACACACCGCCCGU
rnacentral:rRNA from 1 species